CUGCUUGCUCAUGGCCGCCGAGAGGGGAAACCCCUUGGCGGUACGGCAACACCCACCCUUGUCUAUGUAUACCUUUCGUUAUUUCCCUCGGCGGGGCAACCCGCCGCUGGGGACAUCAAAACCCUCUUGUAUCAAGCAUCAAAACUUCUGAAUCAAACCUAGAAUAUAA
rnacentral:misc_RNA from 1 species